rnacentral:rRNA from 1 species
GAUGAACGCUGGCGGCGUGCCUAACACAUGCAAGUCGAACGAAGAGGCCCCUUCGGGGGUACUUCAGUGGCGGACGGGUGAGUAACACGUAGGCGACCUGCCCCGAAGCAGGGAAUAACGGCUCGAAAGGGCCGUUAAUACCCAAAAGGAUCGCGUAUCAAAGCGUGAUCAGAGUUACGGCGUUUCGGGAGGGGCCUGCGGCCCAUCAGCUAGUUGGUAGGGUAACGGCCUACCAAGGCAACGACGGGUAGGGGGCCUGAGAGGGCGACCCCCCACAUUGGGCACUGACACACGGGCCAAACUCCUACGGGUGGCAG